UACAGGGGGGUGCAAACGUUGCUCGGAAUCAUUGGGCGUAAAGCGCACGUAGGCGGUUCGUUAUGUCGGAUGUGAAAGCCCUUGGCUUAACCGAGGAAGUGCAUCCGAAACUGGCGAGCUAGAGUACGAAAGAGGAUCGCGGAAUUCCCGGUGUAGAGGUGAAAUUCGUAGAUAUCGGGAGGAACACCGGUGGCGAAGGCGGCGAUCUGGGUCGAUACUGACGCUGAGGUGCGAAAGCGUGGGGGAGCAAACAGG
rnacentral:rRNA from 1 species